GUGCACAGCGGUCUGGCGUUCAGACCUGCCUCUGGCUGAAGAUGAAGGCCCGAAACAGGGCCUGUCCCAGAAGAUGGGUUGCCUCUGAAGUCUGCGUGGUCACCUGCACAGACUGGUCUCCGAGGGACCCAAGACACAAGAUGGUUCCCUAACCUGCUCUGGAGCUUGUUUCUUCCUUUUUGAUAUGAUGGAUUAUUUUUCCAAUUAAUGUUCAAGCCAAAUAAUACCAUUUUGGAAUAGUGAAACUCAACUAGGCAUCAUUUUUCUCAGUGGGGACCAGAGUUUAUUGGAUGUAAGUUUUAAAGAGGAACAGUUUGAUUAGGAUUUUCAAAGUCACAUUUAUUUCUAGUUUCCUGGAAUAGAUGGAGUUUAUUUUCUCAGACUGUCAUAAUUUAUAGUCCUGUCAUUUCAAAGGUUUUGAGUAAGUGCAACAUGAAAUGUGGAAGUAAAAAAGUUAAGUGUUCUGACAUUUGAUUUAGCACAAAAAGUACUUUUUAAUACUCCUAACCUUUGAGGCUUUAUGACUUUGUAAAGGAAUAAGGAGUUCAAUUGUAUUUAUUCUCUCUGCUGUUAAAUGUGCCUUUUGAUCAGUGUUCAUGUUUUUUUUAACACUUAGACGAAGUGUCCUUUUAUGAAAAUGAAAAAAAAAUUUUAAUGUAAUAGCUUUUCAAAUUUUUUCUUCUAUAUGGGUAGAAUUUACUUCUUUGAGUGCUGAAUAUCAUUUCCUAAGUUCUUUGAAGCUUCUUUGAGGAAGAUGGUGUAUGCCAGUCUGUUCAUUAAGGGUAGUUAGGCUUGCUUGUGAUGCAAGCCAUUUCUCCUAAGUUCUCUGGUUGGCGAAGAUUGCUUUUUAAAAUAUGAAUGGAUUUUUCUAAGUGUUAGGCACAUGGCUGCUGUGCACCCUUGCUCAUAUAUAGUUUUACAGUAUGUGUCUUUUUUCAAAGCGGUUCCAGAUUUUCUCUUAUUUUUGCCACAUUCUCAGAAAUAGCAUAGUGUGAGUAUUGCUCCUUAGCAUAGAAAUUGAAAUUCAAAGUGAUGCAUUAGUUGCUCAGUACACUAGAACCUUGAUAAUACUAAAGUAGAAAUUUAGAUUUAAACAGUGCUAGGUUAGAUUUAGAUGUUGUAAAGUUUAGAUUUCAAAAGACCCUGCUUUUGAAAAAUAUACCUCUCCCUGUAUCCUGUAUUCUAGGCAUUGUGGUUAGAUUGGAGAAGAGCAGGUAAGGUACAGAUUGUUGCCUCAGGGGCUUGCAGUUAGUAGCAGAGAUUACUCAGUAGGAGCAGUAAGUGGUUUGCUCCACUGAAGGGAACUCAGAUGUUUUGAGAAAGUGACAAAACUUGAAGGAAAAGAGUAAGUUUGGUGAGGCGUGGGUAGAGAGAUGUUUGGGCAGACAGAACAACACUGAUUCUACUUGGGAUUGGUUAGUUGGUCCAUGUACUGAGCUGGGUUGUGUAUAAGAAAGAAGGUGUAGGCUGUGGAAUCAGAAGUAGACAGUGUGCUCUAAAUUGAGAGGUGUGAACUUAAGAAAAAAGAUGGUAGUGGGGAUUUUGGAGUACUAAGAAGUUGCUGGAAUCUGAUUGAGUCUUAGUGCUUAUUAGCUUGGGAUCAUACUCAAAUGGUUAAAUAUUUCUGAGCUGUUUCCCUCUUAUGUAUGAUAGAGACAACUUUUAUUCCACAGGUAGUUAGGAAGACUAGGAAAA